GAUGAACGCUGGCGGCGUGCCUAAUACAUGCAAGUCGAGCGAACGGACGAGAAGCUUGCUUCUCUGAUGUUAGCGGCGGACGGGUGAGUAACACGUGGAUAACCUACCUAUAAGACUGGGAUAACUUCGGGAAACCGGAGCUAAUACCGGAUAAUAUUUUGAACCGCAUGGUUCAAAAGUGAAAGACGGUCUUGCUGUCACUUAUAGAUGGAUCCGCGCUGCAUUAGCUAGUUGGUAAGGUAACGGCUUACCAAGGCAACGAUGCAUAGCCGACCUGAGAGGGUGAUCGGCCACACUGGAACUGAGACACGGUCCAGACUCCUACGGGAGGCAGCAGUAGGGAAUCUUCCGCGAUGGGCGAAAGCCUGACGGAGCAACGCCGCGUGAGUGAUGAAGGUCUUCGGAUCGUAAAACUCUGUUAUUAGGAAAGAACAUAUGUGUAAGUAACUGUGCACAUCUUGACGGUACCUAAUCAGAAAGCCACGGCUAACUACGUG
rnacentral:rRNA from 1 species